rnacentral:rRNA from 1 species
GACGAACGCUGGCGGCGUGCCUAAUACAUGCAAGUAGAACGCUGAAGGAGGAGCUUGCGCUUCUGGAUGAGUUGCGAACGGGUGAGUAACGCGUAGGUAACCUGCCUGGUAGCGGGGGAUAACUAUUGGAAACGAUAGCUAAUACCGCAUAACAGUAGAUGUUGCAUGACAUUUGCUUAAAAGGUGCAAUUGCACCACUACCAGAUGGACCUGCGUUGUAUUAGCUAGUUGGUGGGGUAACGGCUCACCAAGGCGACGAUACAUAGCCGACCUGAGAGGGUGAUCGGCCACACUGGGACUGAGACACGGCCCAGACUCCUACGGGAGGCAGCAGUAGGGAAUCUUCGGCAAUGGACGGAAGUCUGACCGAGCAACGCCGCGUGAGUGAAGAAGGUUUUCGGAUCGUAAAGCUCUGUUGUAAGAGAAGAACGAGUGUGAGAGUGGAAAGUUCACACUGUGACGGUAGCUUACCAGAAAGGGACGGCUAACUACGUG